rnacentral:rRNA from 1 species
GACGAACGCUGGCGGCGUGCUUAACACAUGCAAGUCGAACGGAAAGGCCCUGCUUUUGUGGGGUGCUCGAGUGGCGAACGGGUGAGUAACACGUGAGUAACCUGCCCUUGACUUUGGGAUAACUUCAGGAAACUGGGGCUAAUACCGGAUAGGAGCUCCUGCUGCAUGGUGGGGGUUGGAAAGUUUCGGCGGUUGGGGAUGGACUCGCGGCUUAUCAGCUUGUUGGUGGGGUAGUGGCUUACCAAGGCUUUGACGGGUAGCCGGCCUGAGAGGGUGACCGGCCACAUUGGGACUGAGAUACGGCCCAGACUCCUACGGGAGGCAGCAGUGGGGAAUAUUGCACAAUGGGCGGAAGCCUGAUGCAGCAACGCCGCGUGCGGGAUGACGGCCUUCGGGUUGUAAACCGCUUUCGCCUGUGACGAAGCGUGAGUGACGGUAAUGGGUAAAGAAGCACCGGCUAAGUACGUG